rnacentral:lncRNA from 1 species
CUGGAUCUACUCCUGUGCCAUAUAUUUGAAACCCAAACAGACCUCCAAACCUGUCAAUAAAGUGCUGCAGAUUGGAAAUGGUCAUGUGAACGGGGUUACACACAUAGUUUUACAGUAUGGUGUGGUAGGCAACCUUUGGAUAAUCAUAUCUUGAUCCACUGUUUUUCCCAGGUUGCCCAACCUACACAUGACAAAUAGGGGCAGAAGUUAGUCUCUAUUUGGGCAAUCAGGAUCAGUA